UUAUAAUAUUUGAAAGGUGGCAAGACAUUAUAAUAUUUGAAAGGUGGCAAAAGGGGAUGGAGGCCACGGCUAAAUGAAGAUUGAUAUGUACAAGGUAUUUUAUUCCUUUGAGAAAGGUCAGUUGGGUGGAGAAAAAUGUGCAAACACAUGUCUUUCAAAAAAUAAAAACGGCAACACAAAACCGCACCUUCAUUCUAAAAAUAGAGCGACAUUUUUUUCUCCUUUUUGAGAGUAAUACCAGCGUUUUUCUACCUCAAGAAUGCCAAAAAAAACGUGUAAUUCGCAUCAAGAACAACAUGCGGGUUUCGCGCACCGCUUCGAUUUCGUUGUUCCGUUUUAUCGCGUUGUUGAAUCCGGGUUUUCUUCAAAGUGAAGUAAGGUGGAAAAAUAAUACUUCUUUGCAUAUAAGGCUAAAAGAGCGACGAGACGAACGGGUUACGAAUAGCCGCUAACAGGUACAGAUUACAGAUUUGCUGACCCGCAUGUCUAAGACACCUAUUCUGCUAUUCUGGAGCGCUCUUUUGUCCAGAACCUAUACUUUGGUACAGUCUGCUGCUGUUAUAUUUAUGUACGCUAUUCAGGGGUACGACGGGGCCCUGUCCCGUCUUAUGAUUUUGUUAUGUUCUGUAGAGGUCUGUAGACAUACUGGUGUGGGUUCUGUAUAUGUUUUGGGUUGUUAUGAUCUGUGAUGGCCUUAUCGGCUUCCACUUACAAAAAUUGUUCAUCU